UACGGAGGGGGCUAGCGUUGUUCGGAAUUACUGGGCGUAAAGCGUACGUAGGCGGCUUUGUAAGUUAGAGGUGAAAGCCCGGGGCUUAACCCCGGAAUUGCCUUUAAGACUGCAUCGCUUGAAUCAUGGAGAGGUGAGUAGAAUUCCGAGUGUAGAGGUGAAAUUCGUAGAUAUUCGGAAGAACACCAGUGGCGAAGGCGACUCACUGGACAUGUAUUGACGCUGAGGUACGAAAGCGUGGGGAGCAAACAGG
rnacentral:rRNA from 1 species